AGCUCUGAGGUGUUAUCAUAACAGAUUGCAAAUCUGGAGUUGCAGGUUAACGCCUGCCGGGGCUU
rnacentral:tRNA from 1 species